UACGGGGGGGGCAAGCGUUGUUCGGAAUUACUGGGCGUAAAGGGCUCGUAGGUGGCCAACUAAGUCAGACGUGAAAUCCCUCGGCUUAACUGGGGAACUGCGUCUGAUACUGGAUGGCUUGAGAUUGGGAGAGGGAUGCGGAAUUCCAGGUGUAGCGGUGAAAUGCGUAGAUAUCUGGAGGAACACCGGUGGCGAAGGCGGCAUCCUGGGCCAACACUGACGCUGAGGAGCGAAAGCGAGGGGAGCAAACGGG
rnacentral:rRNA from 1 species